rnacentral:rRNA from 1 species
CCUUCGGGUUGUAAAGCUCUUUCAGCCGGAAAGAAAUUGCUUCUAUUAAUACUAGGAGUAGAUGACGGUACCGGAAGAAGAAGCACCGGCUAACUACGUGC